rnacentral:pre_miRNA from 1 species
AUGUCCCCUAGAGUUUCCCCUUGCACUUCAUUAGGGACCUUCCCUUGUGAAGAUUAAGAGGGAAAACAUUUCUCCCUAUUGAAGUGUUUGGGGGAACCCCGGGUGCCAU